GCGGGAGUGGUGAAAUUGGCAGACACGCAGGAUUUAGGUUCCUGUGCCUUCGGGCGUGUGGGUUCAAGUCCCACCUUCCGCA
rnacentral:tRNA from 7 species